rnacentral:rRNA from 1 species
UAUGUAGGGGGCUAGCGUUGUCCGGAAUCAUUGGGCGUAAAGCGCGUGUAGGCGGUCCGGUAAGUCCGCUGUGAAAGUCGAGGGCUCAACCCUCGAAUGCCGGUGGAUACUGUCGGGCUUGAGUACGGGAGAGGCGAGUGGAAUUCCUGGUGUAGCGGUGAAAUGCGCAGAUAUCAGGAGGAACACCGAUUGCGAAGGCAGCUCGCUGGAACGUUACUGACGCUGAGACGCGAAAGCGUGGGGAGCAAACAGG